CCUACGGGUGGCAGCAGUAGGGAAUUUUGCGCAAUGGGGGAAACCCUGACGCAGCAACGCCGCGUGAGGGAUGAAGCCCUUCGGGGUGGAAAGAUCUGUCAGUGGGGACGAAAACUGACGGUACCCACAGAGGAAGCACCGGCUAACUCCGUGCCAGCAGCCGCGGUAAUACGGGGGGUGCAAGCGUUGUCCGGAAUCAUUGGGCGUAAGGAGUUCGUAGGGGGGCCGUUAAGUCUGUUGUUAAAGGCCGAAGCUCAACUUCCGUAGGGCACUGGAUACUGGCGAGCUUGAAUGCAGUAGGGGUAAAGGGAAUUCCUGGUGUAGCGGUGAAAUGCGUAGAUAUCAGGAGGAACAUCGGUGGCGUAAGCGCUUUACUGGGGCGUAAUUGACACUGAGGAACGAAAGCCGGGGUAGCAAAUGGGAUUAGAUACCCUGGUAGUC
rnacentral:rRNA from 1 species